GGGGACUCUUAAUCUCGGGGUUGUAAAUUCAAAAUCCCCAUUGGGUAUUGAGAUUAAACUCCCCACUGGGUAUUGAGAUUACAAAAAUAAAAUCUUAAAAAAAAAAAGGUGGGAACAGAGAAUUACAAGAAAUCACUCAGUCUGCCUAAUCUUGUGCCUUGUCUCUUUUCUACCUUAUAUUCAUCCAGAAGAAUUAAACAUGGGUGUGCUGCCAUCACUAAUAGACUUAAACAAAGGAAAACCUUCGAGAUGUGAAUCACUUUUUGUAAAAACUGAUUAAUAUAAGCAAUAUAGGUAAGAGAGAGUGUGUAUGUGUUUUAUCAGGAUAGUAGCCCAUUUUUUACUCUUAUAGAUGAGAGUUAAGUAUAGUCCUUUAAUGCAAGUUAAGAGUAUGUAGAGCAGUAGUUGCUUUUUUUCUCCCUUCUUACACUAAAGUGUUUUAGUGUUUUUUUCAGUGUGACUAGGCAGUGAUUUUGAAGGGAUAAAGCAGGAAGAAGAAUAUUUAUCUAUGAAAACCUGAAUGUAUUUGUUUUCUGAGAUAAAUGAAAUCUUUGGCUUGAAAAUUACUUUCUGGUAGAAUAUGGCAAACUGACAUUCCUUCCAGGUAAGACAUUUUUUUCUCUUUGUGUUUUGAAAUCUGUAGUUACUUUUCUUCAUCUGUGGGUACCAUAUUUAAGAUGAAUCAAGAUUUCAGUAAAAAUUGUUUUAUUGUUAGAAUGGCAAAUCACUCUGUAGGAGAUUGGAUGAUUUCAGAAGAGAUUGUGCUUACUACUUUGGUGCUCAGUUAGUGUCCUGUGACAAAGACAGAUCCCAUUCUUACAAAGAAACAAAUUAAGGAGGCUGGAAGAAUCUGGCAUUUUUCUCUUUAAAGUUAUAAGAAUUAUUAUUCAUUCAGCCAUUUAAAUAUCUCCUACAAGUUUGUAGCCGAAGACUAAUAAUGAAAUGAGCAGAUAAAGCAAAGCAUCAUCCAUGAAAACUAUUCACUUUCUCAGGUAUGAUAAAGAAAAUCUUCUCUUUUCAUUUUUCCCAGUUUAUCAUGAUCCUUACUGCACCAGUGAUCUUAACAUUAAGUAUCUAGAACAUUCACACACCUUUUGGCCUAGGAAGGAAAGUGUAUUAUUGAACAUCAAGCCAGUCAUUCUUACAUCUAGGUGUUACAUACAACCUAAUUUGUCAAGCAUUACUUUUGCUAUAAAGAGAACGCAGGAAAGGAGUUCUGCUUAAUGGGGGAAAGGGGCAACCAUUGGGGAAGUUUCGGAUGGAGCAUUUUCUUUGAGCUCAGCCUGUACAGCUUUCCCCAGGGCAGUAGAAGAGCCCUGGAAUCUGUCAACUUCAUUGAAGCUCAGAGUUUCAUUUUAUCUUUGAAACAAAAAUUUCUCUAUGUGUUAUAUUUAGACAACAUUUUUUAUUUAAAAAGAAGUAUUUUUAUAACAAUCAUGGAACUAUCUACAGGUCUAAGAACUCCUAGAAGAAUCUUUGACUACGAAUUUGACCAAGAACAGUGGCUUAUGCAACUCUGAAAGCACAUGAUGUUGAGAAUGAUCAAAUGGAAACAGCAUCGAACCCUCAGACUUCUUUGACUAAAAUGGUGAUGUACAAUUCUGAUCUGAGGGGUUGUCAAAAGACAGGUCAACAUCAUGCAGAAUUCAUUUACUGAGGAGGUCAGAAGGUACUACAGAGAAAAACAUAUUUUAAGCGAUCAAGAUUUAUUAUAUAGAUAUUUCAGGAAAGAUUUGCUCAUGAAAAUCUAGAAUUAUUGUGGAUAUAGUAAGUAAUAAAAAGAAACUCAAAGACAGCAUUAUAUUUCUUGGUGGAUAAAUGAGGUAAAAACAUUGGAUUCCUUUUACCUCUUCAGUGGCAGGUUAAGUUUUUGUGGAUCAUUAUACUUUUGUGUGACUGUGUGGAAGAACUUCCAACAUAUUUUGUGUUCUUUCUGGAUUUGGAUAACACUCAACAGAAGCCUGCUUUCGCCUAAAAUGAGUGAAUAGUCCUGUUCUAAAACUGUAUUGAAGUGUGGAGGCUUCAUAUGAUUUAUUAGUACAUAAUACUGUGUUUGACAUUGACCUAUUUGUGGACAAGAAAUAUUCAGUUCACAUUCAUUGUUCAUUAUUGUGUUUGAACCACAAAUAAAUGUUAUAGUUCUAGGGCCUGUGCUAGAACUGAACUGCCUGUGAAUUCUGCCAAAGAAAACAGCCAGCCUGGAUGUUUCAGAGCCCCUUAAGUUUUUGAGGGUUGGUGGAUUUUUUUUUUUUUUUUUUUUUUUUUUUUUUUGCUUUUCAGUGUGUUUUGUUGGGUCCUUUAUAAAUAUCUGGAGUAUUGUCUUAACUCCAUUUCACCCCUUAUGGAGAUGCCCUCAUGUGCCAUAUCUAAAUGUCGUGAAUGGGAAGUGAUUUUGAGACUUGUCCCAUUUUGUUGUGCCUUGCUCACCUGUGGAUCAUGAUGGCUCAGUGAGGAGAGAGAAAAGGAUAUUUAUUUAAAGCCAAAUGCUUCUCUUUUGCAGAUUUUCUUCACACUGUUCCACGUGGACAUGGCUUCUUAGCUCUACUAAUUUUCAUUUUUAAGCAUAAGAUAUUCCUUAGGCCAAAAUAAGCUUUGUAAUUGAGAUAAGUGAAGUUCAUAGUCCUAUUCUCUAUUAUAGGGGUCCUUCUGUUUACUACUGAUUUUUUGCAUACAUACUGUGUUUCAGAUACAUAUGUCUAAUCCAUACCCUAAAAGUUACUCAUUUCUCAGAAAAGAAACAGAAGCUUAGAUCAAUUAAAAGCUUGCCUAAGAUGACACUUUAGUAAAAAAAAAAAAGGGGGGGGUAGAUCAAAUCAUCUUAAUUUCGCAAAUGGUUUGGGAAUGAUUGGAAUUACCCUAGAAAGAGAAGGUUUGUUUGCUUUUGUUUUGUUUUGUUUUAGCACAGGGAGUGCUAAGUGGGAUGGUUCUGUUUUGAUAACCUGCUUAGAUAAAAUGAGGGACCAGGCUGGGAUAGGGGGGUGGGGUGGAUGGGGAAGUGAACAUGGAAAUGUAGCAUGAGGUUGAAGUAAGACAGCAAAUUAGAAGAACAUUUGAUUAAAGGGAGAAGUCACAAGAUGCAUUUAUUUUGUAAAAUGUGGUACUUUCACAUCACUCAAAAAAAAAAAAACCAGAAAAAUCUGUCUUGCAGUGUGAGCAUGUGGUACCUGAUAAUUAAUUGAUUUGUAAAAUUGUCAUUGAUAAAAAUUUUUGGAUUUUUUCAAAUGUAAGAAUUACAAGUAAAAUAAGUUUGUGCCACAAAACAACUUUGGUCUGAAACAACAAUUACACAUUAAAAGAGGUGGUGGGCACCAGGGGGCUCAGUCCGUUAAGCAUCCAACUCUUGAUUUCGGGUCAGUUCAUGAUCUCCAGGUUCGUGGGUUCAGGGUCUGAAUCGGGCUGUGUGCUGACAGCGUGGAGCCUGCUUGAAAUUCUCUUCCUCCCUCUCUCAAAUAAAUAAAUAAAUACAAAGGUGGGACAGGGUCAGAAGACAACUAAUUUGGUAUUGAGCGUUCGAAGACUGGGAUUCUGCGUAGUUUGACAGGAGGCUGAUCUGAGCAUCUUCCUUGGUUGUCAGUGUUCUCAGCUAAUGACUAAUUGCUGCUCUUGCCCAGAAAUCCAGAAACUCUGGAGAUGAGGAAUUCUUUUUGAAACUAAUUCCACAGUACAUCACCCCUUUUGUUCACCACCACACACUGUACCCUGGCUCCUCUUCCCAAGGGCGGUUCAUUGGCACGUCUGUCUGGUAGGGUGGCGUUUUCUGCAUAGUAAUCAGGCCUCUGCAAUUGUGACAUCCCUCCCCCUCACCCUAAACUCUUUGGGUUCUUGACACGCGGUGGCAAUGCCACUGGUAGAACAAAAAUCAAAAGGAGAAAAGGGAAAAAAAAAGUCUUCUUGAAUUUGAUGUGACUGCAUAGUUCUGCCACGUUGUGGUUAAGGAAACUCCUUUAAAAACUUUCUUCUUCUUCCCAGGAAGCAGCCUUGUGAACAGGCAGGUUCAGAAAGCCAGGGAGCCAACAGAUUUUUUCUAGUCAUUUACCAGCCUGUCCUACUUUAUACCAAGUGCUUAGUGAUCAGUGUGCACAUUUUAAAUGGUUAAAAUUUGUAUUUUGACCCCUUUUAGUAUGUGCUAAUUUGCAAAACUUUUAAAAGUUGGCUCUUUGGCCACUGUUGUGUGCAGUUUUCAUUUUUGUUGCCUGUGUGAUAAGAGUGGGUAGGGGCAAUGUCUCCUAAAGAUAGCUCAACAUGAGUACAUUGAAGGAGGCAGUGCAAGUUUGGCCAGCAAGUGUCCAUGUUUUUUCUUUUGUUAUGUUUAAAAAAGAAACAGACCCCUGGAAUAUUAGAAUAUUUAGGAGCAAGGUGUUAUUGUUUCUUAGACUCACAGAAUUUAUAACUAGACUUUUAUUAACUUGUGUUUUUUAUCUUGCACACACAAAAGGGCAUACUUAGAAGAUGAAAGAUUUAUCACAAAUUGAAAUACUAUAUAGAAGACUAAUGUUCCCUAUACUCUCUUCAGAAACUUGCCUCGCUAAUACUGUAUUUUCUGAUUCUGCGGUCAGAACACUGGCUCUAAUUUCCCUGGACAGAUUUGUUUCAGGCUCAAGAUAGCUGCUUAAGCAGUUCAUGUGUAUAGAACUGUGUAGAACAUGUAUCCUUCUGUUAACACUGAGGUGGCCAGAGUGCUUCCACCAGCUGCAGAGGUGUGUUAGCUGGACCUCGAGAUUUUUGCCUUAAUCCAGAUGGACAGUUACCAGAGGACAUGAUGCAGAAGAGGUUAUUGGAGGUUAGUUCUGAAAUGUCUUUAAGAUCAGCCUACUGUAAUUCACAUUCAGUAAAGCAGUGGUUUAUAACUGGUAAGCUGAGUAAAUGGAUUAUCUCUAAGCCUUACUAUUUUUAGCCUUUUCCCCAAAAUGAAUGGUGAAUUGUCACGUCUCUUCCAAAAGCUUUUGUUCCCGUGAGUGCUUAGAGAUGAGAUAGAGCCCCAUCAUUACUCCUAAAAGGAAGGCAGUGGGUGGGAAUGGUUGUACUGACUCGGGGUAAUGUCCAACAUUCAGAGAGAGGCCCUGGGAGUUAAUACUCUGGUGCCCAUGGACCUAGGGUCUAGUCCAGGUUUAGCUACUUAGUAGCGGAGUGAAUAUGAUAAAGCUCUGGGUCUUGAUCUCUUUAGUUUUAACAUUAGCCAAAAUACUGUCUGUCCUGUGUACUACUUUUAAGGUGGUGGUGACAGUAGAGUAUUGAGAUUGAAGAUGGUAUUAUUAAGAAGGAGAGGACAGAAGGCUAAAUAACAGGCAAGUGAAUUUGUUUCUCACUGUGUCUAAUGCUAUGGAUCACCGUAGGGUGAAUGUAUUUGUGUUUCUGGGUCAGCCACAUGGGACAACAAAGUGAUCUCUUAAAUUGGAAAGCAGUGUUGUUCUUACUUGGCUAUUUCUUCAUGUCACACCCCUUUAGUGGUGCACAUCAUGGUCCUUCUGUUGUAGCUUAGUACCUGACAGCAUGCAUAUACAUGCAGGUAAUGUGCCUAGAGGCUUUAAUUUGACCUGGCUGCUUUUUCCCUAGGCUAGAGUCCUUUCAUUAAACUCAGAAGAUGUGCGUAUUUGAUGAAAAAAUAUAUAUAUACGCACAUACAUACACUUUUAAAAAGAAAAAAGUUGGAGAAGACCUGUUAUAAUCCUUCUUAAUUUAGGUGUUCCUUGCAGAUUUGGUCAUUUGCACAUGAGCUAUUUAUUUAGAUUCAUUAAGAGAUUUUCUGUUCUUUGUUUUCUGUGUUUUGUUUUUAUCUAUGCUUAGGCUUUAUAGUUUAUUGCUUUAAGAGGAGAAGAAUUGGAUGGAUUUAUAAUUUAUUUAACUAUUUCUUUGUUGGAGAGCACUUGUUAUUUUUUCCCUUUAUUUUAAUAUUCUAUAUAGUUAUUGUUUUUAUAAUUUUAUUUUAUUUUUAUAUGUUUAUUUUUGAUAAAGACAGAGCAUGAGUGGGGGAGGGGCAGAGAGUGAGGAAGACACAGAAUCUGCAGCAGGCUUCAGGCUCUGAGCUCUGAACUGUCAGCACAGAGCCUGACGCAGGGCUCAAACUCAUAAACCGUGAGAUCAUGACCUGAACCGAAGUCAAAUGCUUAACCGACUGAGCCACCCAGCCACCCCGAUAAUUUUACUUUAUUUUAAUAUAAUUUUUAAAAAUACUUAUUUAUGUUUGAGAGACAGAGAGUGAGCAGGGGAGAGGUAGAAAUGGAGACACAGAAUGUGAAGCAGGCUCCAAGCUCUGAGCUGUCAGCACAGAGCCCGAUGCGGGGCUCAAACCCAUGAACUGUGAGAUUAUGACCUGAACCAAAGUCACAUGCUUAACUGACUGAGCCAAUCCAGGUGUCCCUGUUUUUAUAAUUUUAAAAUAAGAGGAAUGCAUCUAAGUGUUCUGUAAAUUGCUAAGGUUCUAACUGUGGACUCCUGACUAGGAACUCACAGUAAACUAGCUACAGGGAAAUUUGGCUACAAGAAAUGCAAUAGAAUUGAGCAGAGGAUUCCGUGUUUGUAAGUGUGUACAAAUGAGUCACGAGACUGGACCUCUCAGCUCAAUAGGCUGAGCCUCUUCUUUGUGCUCUGAGUCAAAGAGGAAAAAAAGUAAAGGACUGACGUGUGUGUGUGUGUGAGAGAGAGAGAGAGAGAGAGCACGCGCACGCGAGAGCGAGUGAGAGAACACAUUUCCAUUCUGUGGCCUUUACAAGUAGAUAUGUGAUAGGGGUAAGAGCUGGCAAAAUCUGAAGCCUAUAGGUGCAGUUUAAACAAUUCAGAGGACAACCCCCACAUGUUUCUUGUCCUUAUGCUUUUUACUUUUUUUUUUUUUGAUUUUUAUUACUUCUCCUGCCUGCCCCCCCGCGCCCCCCCCCCCCCCACAUUUGUGAUCCAAGGAGGAUGAAGACCUUUUUCUUACAAUCCUGCUGUUUGAAGCAUUUGGAUAAUUUUACAACGAAAUAAAAUUAUCUCUUUAAAAAAAUUUUUUUUUAAUGUUUAUUUAUUUUUGAGACACAGAGAGACAGAGCAUGAACGGGGCAGGGUCAGAGAAAGAGGGAGACACAGAAUCUGAAACAGGCUCCAGGCUCUGAACUGUCAGCACAGAGCCCAAUGUGGGGCUCGAACUCACAGACCGCAAGAUCAUGACCUGGGCCGAAGUUGGACGCUUAACCGACUGAGCCACCCAGGUGCCCCUAAAAUUAUCUCUUAAAAAAGAAAAAAACAACUAUGAGGCGUCUGGCUGGCUCAGUCAGUGGACCAUGAGAUUCUUGAUCUCAGGGUUACGAGUUUGAGUCCCGUGUUGGGUGGAGAGAUUACUUAAAAUCUUUAAAAGCAAACAGAAACUAUGGUGAUUUAUUUUGAAAUUAACCUGAGGGGAAAAAAUUAAUCUAUUGAAUGGUAUAAUUUGAGUGUAAUAAAAUUUGCCAUUUUAUGUGCAGAAUGUGAGUUUUGAUAAAGGUAUACAGUUGUGUAACAUCACAGUCAUGAUGUAAAGCAUUUCAAACAUUUUCAUCACCACCCCUUGUACUCAUUUCCAGCCAUUCCCCUCCCCCUGCUUUUGGCCCCUUGGCAACAUCUGAGCUGCCUUUGCCUUUUCUGGAAUUUUAUAUAAAUGGUGUCAUACUAUAUGUAGCUUUUUGUGUUAGCUCCUUUCACUUAGAAUAGUGCAUAUGAGAUUCAUUCCUGUCUUGUGUCAGUUCAUUCCUUUUAAUUGCUAUGAAACAUUCCAUUUUGUGAAUAUUCCAUGAGCAGAAUAUUUUAUCCAUUUAUCUAUCAGUAGAUGGACUUUUGGGGUUAUUUCCAGUUUUUUGUUGUUUUUUUGUGUUUUUUUUUUUUUUUUUUUUUUUACUAUUAUGAAUAAAGUUGCUUGGAGUAUUCACAUUCAAGUCUUUGGGGAUAUAUUUUUCCAUUUCUUGGGGAUAAAUCCCUAGGAAUAGGAUUGCUGGGUCAUAUGUACAGUGCAUGUUAAUUUUAUAAGAAACUGCCAAACUGCCAGACCACCAAACCAGCAGUAUAGGAGAGUUCUAGUUGUUUCCCGUCCUCUCCAACAUUUGAAUGGUUUGUCAGUCAUUUUACUUUUAUCCACUGUAGAAUGUAUUGAGUGUGUAAUGGUAGAUAUCUUAUACUUUUAAUUUGCAUUUGCUUCAUUAAUAAUGUUAAGCAUCUUUCUAUGUGCUUAUUUCUGAUUUGUAAAUCUUUGGUCAAGUGUUGAAACCUGCCUUUUUCAAAAAUAGGAAUAUUUGUGUUCAUACUAUUCAGUUAUAAGAGUUUUGUUGUAUUUUGUUUUAAUCUUUAAAUGUGAAGAAGCACAUUGAUUUUCAAUGUUAAACCAACCUGGUAUUGCUGGAGUGUAUCUGACUUUGUCAUAACAUGUUACCUUUUGUGUUGCUAGAUUCAAGUUGCUAAAUUUUUGUUAAGGAUUUUUGUGUCUUCAUGAGGGAUAUUGAUCUAUAAGUUUCUUUUAAUAUUUUGUCUGGUUUUGGUAAUCAGAGUAAUGGUAGUCUCAAAAUGAGUCGGAAAUUGUUCUUUCUUCUGUUUUCUGGUAGAAUUUGUAUUAUCUUUCCCUUCAAUGUUUGGUAGAAUUCAACCGUUAAUCCUUAAGAGCCUGGAGUUUUCUUUGUAAGGUUUUUAAUUACCGAUUCAAUUUAUUUAUUAAAUAGUGAGGCUGUUGGUUUUUAAAUUUUUCCUGGAGUGAGUUUUGACAGUUUGUGCCUUUCUAGAAAUUUGUCCAUUUCAUUUAAGUUGUCAAAUUUAUGAACAUAGAGGUGUUUAUGUUAUUCUCUUAUCCUUUUAAUAUAUGUAUGACCUGUAGGGAUUUUGUUUUCAUUCUUGAUAUUGAUAAUUUGUUUUCUGUCUUUUCCCUUAUUCUGGCUAGAGCCAUAUGAUUAUUGACUUUUUCAAAGAAUCAGCAUUUAGUGUCAUUGAUUUUUCUCUGUUGUUUUUAUGUUUUUAGUUUCAUUAAUUUCUGCUCUUUAUUUUCAUUCUGCUUGUUAUGGGUUUGAUUUGCUCUUUUUCUGGUAACUUAGGAUGGAAGGUUAGACCAUUUAUUUGAGACUCUCCUUUCCUAACACAAAUAUUAAAAGAUAAAUUUCCUUCAAGCAACUGCUUUACCUACAUAUAACAAUAUUUGUUUUUUACUCUCAGCUGAAAAUACUUUCCAAUUUAGCUGGUGAUUUCUUUUUUGAUCUAUGGUUUAUUGAGAAAUGAAUUAUUUAAUUUCCACAUAUGUGGAGGAUUUUCCAGAUUUUAUUUAUGUAUGUAUGCAUGUAUGUAUGUAUGUAUGUAUGUAUGUAUGUAAGCAAGCUCUGCCCCCAACAUAGGGCUUGAACUCAUGAUCUCAAGAUCAAAAGUUGCACAGGCUCUACAGACUGACAAGCCAGGUGCCCCUCUAUUAUUACUUUCUAACUUAAUCCUUUUGUGGUCAGAGAAUCUACUUUGUAUAAUUUCAGCCUUCUUAAAAAUUUAUGGAGACUUGUUUAUAGCCUACAAUUUGGUCUGUCUUGGUGAAUGUUUUAUGUAUAUUUGAAAAGAAUAUAUAUAUUUUCGGGUGUGUGUUCUAUAAAUGCCAGUUAGGUCAAGGGGGUCAACUUCAUUUGGUGAGUGCUUGUUAUAUUAAUUACUGUGAAAUGAAU